ACGGAGCCUUUGCCUCAGCUCCUCGUAAGUAACAGCAGAAGUAUCUUUAGUAAGGUUAUCACCUUCCUCCAAAUUAAUCGGCAUAGGUUCACCGUGAUCCUCCGCAGUAUCAUCUUCCGCAUCAGUUUUCUCCUUUUUCUGAAGAGAUUGUUCGAGGAGACCGAGAGUGGAAGACUGCUCUUUCUUCUCAGGAUCAAGUCGAUUACGACGAGCGAGUUUGAGGUUUUCUCUCGAUUGUUUCUUCAACGAAGCUUUGGCAGCUUUAGGGAGACCUUGAUACCAGGAGUCGGGUUCUUC
rnacentral:lncRNA from 1 species